rnacentral:sRNA from 1 species
AUGUGCCGCUCGCACGCUCUGAUUCUGAGCAAAUAGUCCAUGACCGCCUGACGACUGUUUGCCCCGUCUUGUCAGCC